CUUAGAGUUUGAUCCUGGCUCAGGACGAACGCUGGCGGCAGGCUUAACACAUGCAAGUCGAACGCCCCUUCGGGGGAGUGGCGGACGGGUAAGUAACGCGUGGGAAUCUGCCCAGGAGUACGGAAUAACUCAUGGAAACGUGAGCUAAUACCGUAUACGCCCUUCGGGGGAAAGAAUUUCGCUCUUGGAUGAGCCCGCGUCUGAUUAGGUAGUUGGUGGGGUAAAAGCCUACCAAGCCUACGAUCAGUAGCUGGUUUGAGAGGACGACCAGCCACACUGGGACUGAGACACGGCCCAGACUCCUACGGGAGGCAGCAGUGAGGAAUCUUGGACAAUGGGCGAAAGCCUGAUCCAGCCAUGCCGCGUGGAUGAUGAAGGCCUUAGGGUUGUAAAAUCCUUUCGCCGCUGAAGAUAAUGACGGUAAGCGGAGAAGAAGCCCCGGCUAAUUUCGUGCCAGCAGCCGCGGUAAUACGAAAGGGGCUAGCGUUGUUCGGAAUUACUGGGCGUAAAGCGAGUGUAGGCGGACUGGUCAGUUGGGGGUGAAAUCCCGGGGCUCAACCUCGGAACUGCCUUCAAUACUGCCGGUCUCGAGGAUGGGAGAGGUGAGCGGAAUUCCGAGUGUAGAGGUGAAAUUCGUAGAUAUUCGGAGGAACACCAGAGGCGAAGGCGGCUCACUGGACCAUUACUGACGCUGAGGCUCGAAAGCGUGGGGAGCAAACAGGAUUAGAUACCCCGGUAGUCCACGCCGUANACGAUGAGAGCUAGUUGUCGGGCGGCAUGCCGCUCGGUGACGCAGCUAACGCAUUAAGCUCUCCGCCUGGGAAGUACGG
rnacentral:rRNA from 1 species